rnacentral:rRNA from 1 species
UGGAUCCAGACUUUUAUUAUGGCUCAGGACGAACGCUGGCGGCGUGCUUAACACAUGCAAGUCGAACGGGGUGUUUAUUUCGGUAAACACCAAGUGGCGAACGGGUGAGUAACGCGUAAGCAAUCUACCUUCAAGAUGGGGACAACACUUCGAAAGGGGUGCUAAUACCGAAUGAAUGUAAGAGUAUCGCAUGAGACACUUACUAAAGGAGGCCUCUGAAACUGCUUCCGCUUGAAGAUGAGCUUGCGUCUGAUUAGCUAGUUGGUGAGGGUAAAGGCCCACCAAGGCGACGAUCAGUAGCCGGUCUGAGAGGAUGAACGGCCGCAUUGGGACUGAGACACGGCCCAGACUCCUACGGGAGGCAGCAGUGGGGAAUCUUCCGCAAUGGGCGAAAGCCUGACGGAGCAACGCCGCGUGAACGAAGAAGGUCUUAGGAUCGUAAAGUUCUGUUGUUAGGGACGAAGGGUAAGAAUCAUAAUAAGGUUUUUAUUUGACGGUACCUAACGAGGAAGCCACGGCUAACUACGUGCCAGCAGCCGCGGUAAUACGUAGGCGGCAAGCAUUGUCCGGAAUUAUUGGGCGUAAAGGGAGCGCAGGCGGGAAACUAAGCGGAUCUUAAAAGUGCGGGGCUCAACCCCGUGAUGGGGUCCGAACUGGUUUUCUUGAGUGCAGGAGAGGAAAGCGGAAUUCCCAGUGUAGCGGUGAAAUGCGUAGAUAUUGGGAAGAACACCAGUGGCGAAGGCGGCUUUCUGGACUGUAACUGACGCUGAGGCUCGAAAGCUAGGGUAGCGAACGGGAUUAGAUACCCCGGUAGUCCUAGCCGUAAACGAUGGAUACUAGGUGUGGGAGGUAUCGACCCCUUCCGUGCCGGAGUUAACGCAAUAAGUAUCCCGCCUGGGGAGUACGGCCGCAAGGUUGCAACUCAAAGGAAUUGACGGA